UACGUAGGGGGCAAGCGUUGUCCGGACUUACUGGGCGUAAAGCGCACGUAGGCGGCUUUCUAAGUCGGGGGUGAAAUCCUGGAGCUCAACUCCAGAACUGCCUUCGAUACUGGAGAGCUCGAGUCCGGGAGAGGUGAGUGGAACUGCGAGUGUAGAGGUGAAAUUCGUAGAUAUUCGGAAGAACACCAGUGGCGAAGGCGGCUCACUGGCCCGGUACUGACGCUGAGGUGCGAAAGCGUGGGGAGCAAACAGG
rnacentral:rRNA from 1 species